AUUGAACGCUGGCGGCAGGCCUAACACAUGCAAGUCGAGCGAGCGGCGGAAGGGUGAGUAAUGUAUGGGGACUGCCCGAUAGAGGGGGAUAACACUUGGAAACUGGUGCUAAUACCGCAUACUAUCGGAUAACCCAUAGGGGAGUAGCUAGUAGGUGGGGUAAAGGCGCACCUAGGCGGCGAUCUCUAGCUGGUCUGAGAGGAUGAUCAGCCAAACUGGGACUUAGACACGGCGCAGACUCCUACGGAGGCAGCAGUGGGGAAUAGUGCACAAUGGGCGCAAGCCUGAUGCAGCCAUGCCGCGUGUAUGAAGAAGGCCUUAGGUUUGUAAAGUACUUUCAGCGGGGAGGGGUUACCCGCAGAAGAAGCACCGGCUAACUACGUGCCAGCAGCCGCGGUAAUUC
rnacentral:rRNA from 1 species